AGCGGGUAUCACGACUAAUCCGAGGUCAGUCAGUCAGUCAGUCAGUCAGCCAACCAGCCAGCCAGCCAGCCAGCCAGUUAGUAUGUGCGUUUGUGCAUCUGUUGDGGCAGCCAUUGUUGUUUGAAUGCACCCUGCGUGGAUGACUCGCCCAUUCAUAUAGCACACGUACAGUGGGCGACGGCUUGUGAAUUGGGUGAACACACACACACACACACACACACACACACACACCCCCUUUCCUUUUUUUUSUUUCUUUCWCUCUCCACCYCCCAAGUCHGCCACNACAUGGCAUGCUCACAGCAAACAGGAAAGGAAACAAGAAGGGGUGGCGGGGGCGGUGGCGGUGGCGGUAACAACAASCAGUGCAGUACAAUCAUCACCGCUGCACACACCUUCAAGAGAAGCCGCAUGCGCACGUGCACGCACACACCCCCUGAAGGAGAAUGDUACAUCACAGCACAGCACAGCACGGCAUAGCACAACACGGCAGUCCCUCAAGCCACUGCUUUCAUUACGCACAGUGAUAGUUUGUAAGCCGACGCUCGGAUAGAC
rnacentral:rRNA from 1 species